ACGUAGGUGGCAAGCGUUGUCCGGAAUUAUUGGGCGUAAAGGGCGCGCAGGCGGCGUCGUAAGUCGGUCUUAAAAGUGCGGGGCUUAACCCCGUGAGGGGACCGAAACUGCGAUGCUAGAGUAUCGGAGAGGAAAGCGGAAUUCCUAGUGUAGCGGUGAAAUGCGUAGAUAUUAAGAGGAACACCAGUGGCGAAAGCGGCUUUCUGGACGACAACUGACGCUGAGGCGCGAAAGCCAGGGGAGCAAACGG
rnacentral:rRNA from 1 species